rnacentral:rRNA from 1 species
UACGGGGGGGCAAGCGGUUGUUCGGAAUUACUGGGCGUAAAGGGCUUGUAGGUGGCCAACUAAGUCAGACGUGAAAUCCCUCGGCUUAACCGGGGAACUGCGGUGUGAUACUGGAUGGCUUGAAUUCGGGAGAGGAUGCAGGAAUUCCGAGGUGUAGCGGUGAAAGUGACGUAGAUAUCUGGAGGAAUACCGGUGGCGAAGGCGGCAUCCUGGACCGACAUUGACGCUGAAAACCGAAAGCUAGGGGAGCAAACGGG